rnacentral:rRNA from 1 species
GGGGGGGGGGGGGGGGGGGCGGGGGGGGGGGGGGUGGGGCGGGGGGGCCCUGCUUGUGUGGGGUGCUCGGGUGGCGCCCGGGUGGGUAACCCGUGCGUCACCGGCCCUUGACUUUGGGAUCCCUUCCGGCACCUGGGGCUCAUCCCGGGUCGGCGCUCCUCCUGCCUGUUGGGGGUUGGAACUUUUCGGCGGUUGGGGAUGGCCUCGCGGCGUCUCAGCUUGUUGGUGGGGUCGUGGCUUACCAAGGCUUUGACGGGUAGCCGGCCUGAGAGGGUGACCGGACACAUGGGGACUGAGAGACGGCGCAGACUCCGACGGGAGGCAGCAGUGGGGAAUAGUGCACAAUGGGCGGAAGCCUGAUGCAGCAACGCCGCGUGCGGGAUGACGGCCUUCGGGUUGUAAACCGCUGGCGCCUGUGACGAAGCGGGAGUGACGGUAAUGGGUAAAGAAGCACCGGCUAACUACGUG